UGGCGAACGGGUGAGUAACACGUGGGUGAUCUGCCCUGCACUCUGGGAUAAGCCUGGGAAACUGGGUCUAAUACCGGAUAGGACCAUGCUUUAGUGUGUGUGGUGGAAAGUUUUUUCGGUGUAGGAUGAGCCCGCGGCCUAUCAGCUUGUUGGUGGGGUAAUGGCCUACCAAGGCGGCGACGGGUAGCCGGCUGAGAGGUUGGUCGGCCACAUUGGGACUGAGAUACGGCCCAG
rnacentral:rRNA from 1 species